rnacentral:ribozyme from 1 species
AGAGAAAGAGAUAGAGAAAUAGAUAGAGAAAAGAGAAAGAAACUGAUGAAAAAUGUAUCGUCCAGUAAAUGCCAGUGAUUCCCCUCCUCGACCUUCUUCUUCUUCUUCCUCAAGAGUACCGCUUCUUCAACCAGAAGAAAGAGAAGUUGUAAUCGAAGAAGAAGAGAGUAAGGUAUUUU